rnacentral:rRNA from 1 species
UACGUAGGGGGCAAGCGUUGUUCGGAAUUACUGGGCGUAAAGGGCGCGUAGGCGGCCCGGCAAGUCAGGUGUGAAAGCCCUGGGCUCAACCCGGGAACUGCUUUUGAAACUGCCGAGCUAGAGUGCGGAAGGGGCAACUGGAAUUCCCAGUGUAGCGGUGAAAUGCGUAGAUAUUGGGAAGAACACCCGAGGCGAAGGCGGGUUGCUGGGCCGACACUGACGCUGAGGCGCGAAAGCCAGGGGAGCGAACGGG